UACGUAGGGUCCGAGCGUUGUCCGGAAUUAUUGGGCGUAAAGGGCUCGUAGGCGGUUUGUCGCGUCGGGAGUGAAAACUCAGGGCUCAACCCUGAGCGUGCUUUCGAUACGGGCAGACUAGAGGUAUUCAGGGGAGAACGGAAUUCCUGGUGUAGCGGUGGAAUGCGCAGAUAUCAGGAGGAACACCGGUGGCGAAGGCGGUUCUCUGGGAAUUACCUGACGCUGAGGAGCGAAAGCAUGGGGAGCGAACAGG
rnacentral:rRNA from 1 species